CACGUAGGGCGCAAGCGUUGUCCGGAAUUAUUGGGCGUAAAGAGCUCGUAGGCGGUCUGUUGCGUCCGCUGUGAAAACUCGAGGCUCAACCUCGAGACGUCGGUUGAAACCGUCUGGCUAGAGUCCGGAAGAGGAGAGUGGAAUUCCCGGUGUAGCGGUGAAAUGCGCAGAUAUCGGGAAGAACACCCGUGGCGAAGGCGGCUCUCUGGGACGGUACUGACGCUGAGACGCGAAAGCGUGGGGAGCGAACAGG
rnacentral:rRNA from 1 species